rnacentral:rRNA from 1 species
UACAGAGGAUGCAAGCGUUAUCCGGAAUGAUUGGGCGUAAAGCGUCUGUAGGUGGCUUUUUAAGUCCGCCGUCAAAUCCCAGGGCUCAACUCUGGACAGGCGGUGGAUACUGCAGGGCUAGAGUCCGGAAGAGGCGAGUGGAAUUCCUGGUGUAGCGGUGGAAUGCGCAGAUAUCAGGAGGAACACCAACGGCGAAGGCAGCUCGCUGGGACGGUACUGACGCUGAGGCGCGAAAGCGUGGGGAGCGAACAGG